rnacentral:lncRNA from 1 species
CUUCUUCGUCAGCAGCGUCCACGUCUGAUGCACCUGCAUGCGCUGUGCCUUUCAUUGCCCAAAAGUCUCCGGGAGUCCGGGUCCCCUCUAUGGUGGCAGAAAAAUCAUUAGACAAAUCACUGAAAACAAUUUUUAUGGUGGCAGAAAUUUAUGUUUGAAGAUAGCCUCCACAUCAACUCUCAUGAGACGUGAUAGAAAAAGAGAUAAAUUAAAAAGUUCUCACAGAAAGCAGAAACGUCUACCCAUGAAUUCAACAUACUCCAAUCACCAUUGACAAAUAAUGUACCCACCGAUCGAUUCUGUUUUCCAAAAAAAAAAACUCACCUCUACCCCCCUGUUAUCAUCAGAACCAUCUAAAGCAACCCCC